GGCUUCUCACUUGUCCUUGUCCUUGUCCUUGUUUGUGAAGGGGCAAUCUUUUUUACUAACGACUCUCGCCCACCGUUAGCAUAUUGUCCUCUUUGGGCUUUCCCUUUCGGACUU